GCAGAUCUCAGAGCCGGAGGCACUGGGGCUGGGGACAACUGAUAGACACACACACACAUACACAUGGCACAAAACCCGAGGCCUUCAACACAGAAAUGGUGGAAGACUGAAAAAGGACUGAGGGACAGGGGUGCUCAGUUUGUGCACAGAUUUCAACCCCCACAGACAACUCCAGCAUUUGCAGGAACGCAUGGCCACAACAGACCCACGAAAUCAAGCUGACAACAGGCACACACACUGGCACAGAGGUGCCCAUGGACAAAAUGACAUCCAGGCAGACACACACAGACACACAGAAACAGAGUCAUCAGGUGGCGGACAUCCCAACAUACAGACACACUCGCGGACCUCUUGGUAGAGAGGACAAACAGGCACUGACCAUUUGAUAGAGACACACACUCCAACACACCGCCACGCCGAAUUCUCCGUGUGGUAACACCGGCAGCUAACACACCACCACAGUUCAUUCCAGCCUAGGGUGUGCGGGUCUGCAUUAUGAAAGAAACCCAGCCUCACAUACAGAGGAACAUUCACACGGGGGAACACCCAACUCCCCAUACUUUCAUUGAUUGCCCACAAGGUUUAAGGCAGGCAGUUGCUGACAGCACAGACAUAAGCGAAGACACACCCAGGAGCCUAACAUGUGAUGGGACACAGGUCCCUGAAGAACCACGGGCCCUGACAUGUCCCGCCCACACCCACACAAAACAUGCCGGCCUAGGGUGUGAGCUGAGCUGAGACUCCUCCCUGCCCACAAGCCCUGAGUAGCAGCAGAUGUGCCUUGGGGUCAGAGGGCCCUAGUGGCUCCAGGACCAGCUCCAGAUGAACCCACACAGCCUGGGCUGUACCCUUGACCCUCAGCGCUAGGGAGGAAACAGCACCAGUUUCUUCCCCAGGAGCCCCCUACCCAGGCUAAGGGGGAAAGAUAUAGCCCAUCCCCAGAACGCCCGGUUGGCAGCUCUGCCCUCCCAAGUCCCUGCCUGGACUGACAGAGGAGACAUGGUCCUGCCCACAGGAGCCCUGGUCAGAUGGAGCCCGUAUCUCCCUCCCAGGCAGCUCUGGACACUACAGAUACAGACACACACACAGCCCAGCAUGUGGCAGCUCCCGGGAGGUUCUGGAGGGCUUCCUGACAGAGCACCAUGUGGCUUGUGGAUCUUAGGUCCCCAACCAGGGAUCGAACCCAUGCCCUUGGCAGUACCCUGACUGUCAGGUAAGUCCCAAGAUUAGUAUUAAGAUGCAUAGCACCUCCCCUUCUGAAAGUA
ensembl:lncRNA